GUAGUCCUUCCUCUUCAAUAUUUGGGAAAUUAUGCAUUUAUCGCUUGUACACAUAAUUGUUUUAAUUGUAAGCUGUGUGAACGAAAUGCAAAAUCUUGAUGUGUGCCCUUUCUUUUGGCUGUUUCAAAAUCUGUAUAUGUGUUGGGAAAUUCUGCGUGUUGUUGUCUGUGUUUACGCAAAAUUUUAAGGUUAACAGCCACAUGUUGUAGCCGUUUGUUUGUGUUCUUGUAAAUAUUGAUUGGAAUACUUUGCAGGAGUUGUUGUCAUUGCAUCUGAUGGAUAUUGGUCACCUCACACCAACAAUGGGAAGGAAAAGAUUGAAGACAAUUGCCGAACAACAUAUCCAAAUGUCUGACACUAUCGCUGGCUCUUGUCGAAAGCGGCCAGUUGCACCAUUCAUUUGUUACAGUCCCGGAUGUACGAAAGCUGUCUUAUGCCGAUUUCGGGGCCAGCUUGACAUAAAAACUUGCAUAUAUAUAUAUAUAUAUGUAUU